AGCAUAGACGGAUUUUCUGGGGGGUGCAGGGGGGUGCUACCCCCCAAUAUUAGCUAUAACCCCCCCAAACAAAAUGUCCACCCCUCCAAAAAAAUUUUCAACCCCCCCCCCAAUAUUCGGCAUAAUAAAUAAAUAAAUAGUCCACUCCAACGUGCAGAGUGUUGAUGAUACAAAAUAAACGUAGGAGUACACUCGAACAGAAAAAGACAGUGCAACACUCUGAAACUAAUCGCUCCUCGCUUGCAUUCACUGGUUUAUUGGAGCAAUUGUAACGUUUUGAAACUCUAUUAUCUUCCCUGAAUAGAGUUUGCAGUGCCUUGUCAUGCGAAUAGCUUGCACGCAAGGAACAUUUGGAAUUUUUACGAACACUAUUUUUAGUUUUUAAUUCUUUUAGGAAAUAGACUUGCCUAGAUUUAAUCUUUGCGCCCCAAAUAUUAUUUACAUCGGAGUUGCAUCAUAAAUUGUACUUGGAUUCAAACAACACAAUGUCAAUGACUUUAUAAAAGUAAAAGCAUAUUGUGUAUUGGCCUAUUGGGUUUACACUUUUACAGGUUCAUUUCACUUUAAGUCUUUAACUCUCUCAAGUCUCAACAGACAAUCGGACAUGCCAAAUCCAUUGAUAUGACAAAUUGACCACUUCAAAAAACUUUUUUCGAAGCUAGAAAUCAUGAUUUUUUUCAAAUUUUUGCUGGGAUACUUUGUUUUCCGCUCUCUAGACUCCCCCUCGCGGCUCUAGUGCUCCACCCCUAGAAUAUAGACCUUACUGGGGUUUGGUGACACUUUGUCUUGCUUCAGUCACCUGCUCACGGCUCACCCCCCUAAAAUUUCUGGCACCACCCCAGUAAUAAAUAUGAAAAUCCGUCUAUGCGCAU